UACGGAGGAUCCGAGCGUUAUCCGGAUUUAUUGGGUUUAAAGGGUGCGUAGGCGGCCUAUUAAGUCAGGGGUGAAAGACGGUAGCUUAACUAUCGCAGUGCCUUUGAUACUGAUGGGCUUGAAUGUAGUUGAGGUAGGCGGAAUGUGACAAGUAGCGGUGAAAUGCAUAGAUAUGACACAGAACACCGAUUGCGAAGGCAGCUCACAAAACUGUAACUGACGCUGAGGCACGAAAGCGUGGGUAUCAAACAGG
rnacentral:rRNA from 1 species